rnacentral:rRNA from 1 species
AUUGAACGCUGGCGGCAGGCCUAACACAUGCAAGUCGAGCGGAUGAAGGGAGCUUGCUCCUGGAUUCAGCAGCGGACGGGUGAGUAAUGCCUAGGAAUCUGCCUGGUAGUGGGGGAUAACGUCCGGAAACGGGCGCUAAUACCGCAUACGUCCUGAGGGAGAAAGUGGGGGAUCUUCGGACCUCACGCUAUCAGAUGAGCCUAGGUCGGAUUAGCUAGUUGGUGGGGUAAAGGCCUACCAAGGCGACGAUCCGUAACUGGUCUGAGAGGAUGAUCAGUCACACUGGAACUGAGACACGGUCCAGACUCCUACGGGAGGCAGCAGUGGGGAAUAUUGGACAAUGGGUGAAAGCCUGAUCCAGCCAUGCCGCGUGUGUGAAGAAGGUCUUCGGAUUGUAAAGCACUUUAAGUUGGGAGGAAGGGCAGUAAGUUAAUACCUUGCUGUUUUGACGUUACCAACAGAAUAAGCACCGGCUAACUUCGUG